UACGGAGGGUGCAAGCAUUAAUCGGAUUUAUUGGGCGUAAAGGGCGCGUAGGCGGGGAUGUAAGUCAGACGUGAAAUCCCGGGGCUCAACCUCGGAACCGCAUUUGAAACUACAUUUCUAGAGGGUAGGCGGAGAAAACGGAAUUCCACAAGUAGCGGUGAAAUGCGUAGAUAUGUGGAAGAACACCGGUGGCGAAGGCGGUUUUCUAGCUUAAACCUGACGCUGAUGCGCGAAAGCAAGGGGAGCGAACGGG
rnacentral:rRNA from 1 species